rnacentral:rRNA from 1 species
UACAGAGGUCUCAAGCGUUGUUCGGAUUCAUUGGGCGUAAAGGGUGCGUAGGCGGCGCGGUAAGUCGGGUGUGAAAUCUUGGAGCUUAACUCCGAAACUGCAUUCGAUACUGCCGUGCUUGAGGACUGGAGAGGAGACUGGAAUUUACGGUGUAGCGGUGAAAUGCGUAGAUAUCGUAAGGAAGACCAGUGGCGAAGGCGGGUCUCUGGACAGUUCCUGACGCUGAGGCACGAAGGCGAGGGGAGCAAACGGG